GGGGAAUAUUGGACAAUGGGGGCAACCCUGAUCCAGCAAUGCCGCGUGUGUGAAGAAGGUCCUCGGAUUGUAAAGCACUUUCGACGGGGACGAUGAUGACGGUACCCGUAGAAGAAGCCCCGGCUAACUUCGUGCCAGCAGCCGCGGUAAUACGAAGGGGGCUAGCGUUGCUCGGAAUGACUGGGCGUAAAGGGCGCGCAGGCGGCUGUCACAGUCAGAUGUGAAAUUCCUGGGCUCAACCUGGGGACUGCAUUUGAUACGUGGCGGCUUGAGUGGAGAAGAGGGUCGUGGAAUUUCCAGUGUAGAGGUGAAAUUCGUAGAUAUUGGAAAGAACACCGGUGGCGAAGGCGGCGACCUGGUCUUUAACUGACGCUGAGGCGCGAAAGCGUGGGGAGCAAACA
rnacentral:rRNA from 1 species